rnacentral:lncRNA from 1 species
AUAAUAGAAAAUCAGAUCUAAUAUGUAUAUAUAAUCAUGUUAUAUCGAAUCUGACUCUGAUAUCACUGUCAGAAAAUCGACAAGCACAUAGCAUGUAUUUUAAAACUUUCAUGCAGUAAAAAUAUGAGAUUAAACAAUUUAAUCUAUAAAAUAUGCUUGAGAUCUAAUCUUAACGCCUACCCUAGGAUCUAUAAUAAGUCAUACAUGCAUAUAAAGAUCUAAAAAAUAUAAUCUGCAUGCA